CCUACGGGAGGCAGCAGUAGGGAAUUUUCGGCAAUGGGCGAAAGCCUGACCGAGCAACGCCGCGUGAGUGAAGAAGGCCUUCGGGUUGUAAAGCUCUGUUGUGAAGGAAGAACGGCUCAUAGAGGGAAUGCUAUGGGAGUGACGGUACUUUACCAGAAAGCCACGGCUAACUACGUGCCAGCAGCCGCGGUAAUACGUAGGUGGCGAGCGUUAUCCGGAAUUAUUGGGCGUAAAGGGUGCGCAGGCGGUUUGAAAAGUUUAAGGUGAAAGCGUGGGGCUUAACCCCAUACAGCCUUAGAAACUGUCAGACUAGAGUACAGGAGAGGGCAAUGGAAUUCCAUGUGUAGCGGUAAAAUGCGUAGAUAUAUGGAGGAACACCAGUGGCGAAGGCGGUUGCCUGGCCUGUAACUGACGCUCAUGCACGAAAGCGUGGGGAGCAAAUAGGAUUAGAUACCCUAGUAGUC
rnacentral:rRNA from 1 species